rnacentral:rRNA from 1 species
AUUGAACGCUGGCGGCAGGCCUAACACAUGCAAGUCGAGCGGAUGAAGGGAGCUUGCUCCUGGAUUCAGCGGCGGACGGGUGAGUAAUGCCUAGGAAUCUGCCUGGUAGUGGGGGAUAACGUCCGGAAACGGGCGCUAAUACCGCAUACGUCCUGAGGGAGAAAGUGGGGGAUCUUCGGACCUCCCGCUAUCAGAUGAGCCUAGGUCGGAUUAGCUAGUUGGUGGGGUAAAGGCCUACCAAGGCGACGAUCCGUAACUGGUCUGAGAGGAUGAUCAGUCAAACGAGAACUGAGACACGGUCCAGACUCCUGCGGGAGGCAGCAGUGGGGAAUAUUGGACAAUGGGCGAAAGCCUGAUCCAGCCAUGCCGCGUGUGUGAAGAAGGUCUUCGGAUUGUAAAGCACUUUAAGUUGGGAGGAAGGGCAGUAAGUUAAUACCUUGCUGUUUUGACGAUACCAACAGAAUAAGCACCGGCUAACUUCGUG